rfam:Trichosporon oleaginosus strain IBC0246 unplaced genomic scaffold CC85scaffold_29, whole genome shotgun sequence.
GCCCUUGUAGUUUAGUGGUUUAUAAUUUCUCACUUGUAUUGCGUACAAAUGAGAGGGUCUCGAGUUCGAAUCUCGACGGGGGCU